ensembl:lncRNA
UAUCCCUGUGAGGUCAUUGCGGUAUCGCCUGGCUGCCACUGGCCUGCUGCUCACUGGACCGACCUCCUUGGAUCUGGUCGCCCCACUCUGACAGUGUAGAGGUGUGGCCAGGCUAAAGGUGCCACGGUGACAGUGUAGAGGUGUGGCCAGGCUAAAGGCCCCACGGUGACAGUGUAGAGUCGUACCCAGGCUAAAUGCCCCACUCUGACCAUGUGAAGCUGUGCCAAGGCUAAGCGCCCCGCUCUGACAGUGUGGAGGUGCGCCCAGGCUUCACGUCCCACUGUAGCAUUCAUAGUGUGGAUGUGCACCCAGGCUAAAAGCCCCGCUCUGGCAGCCAUCGUUUGGAAGUCUACCCAGGGUACCGAAGCUGCUGGCUUAACUCCAGCCGGCCCCAGAGGAUAGCCCCGUCACCCAGGCCCACAGUGUUGCAGGCAGGUUAGAUGGUGUGCUGAUUAGGUGUAGUCUAAUGAGGUCAUCUCCACCAAACCCGCCCCCCACCGCCAUUACUCACCAAAAAUCGCACCCCCCCCCACCCCCUCCAAGCUCUUCUCUUCAGCUGUGUAUCUCACCUGUGUCUGCGUUCAGGGGUUUCUAAGCUAUUAGUUGUGUGUUGUAAAUAUGAC